rnacentral:rRNA from 1 species
CCCUAUGGGGUGCACCAAUACCGUUCUUUGCAUAGGUCUUUUUGUAGCUCCACGAAUCCGGGUCAUUCCCCUGCUUUCGUAUCCAUGUUUGUUUUAAAGGAAUGUAAAGGUUGAUGCCCCAAGGUACUAUCCCUUGAGGUACGCAAUCUUGAAAGCCUGACACUCUCAAAUCAUCCCAGUUUGUGUCUAAGGUAGCUAUGGGGAAUAUCGCCUCGUUAGAGGCACCGUCCAAUGCUCCGGCGGCUUCUGAAUACCAAAGACGAUGAAGAUGGUCUUCUUCAAUCAUGAACACUCGGCCAUAGUGAAAGGCAAUAUAUCGAGAAACAGGCGGGAGAGC